UACGUAGGGUGCAAGCGUUAAUCGGAAUUACUGGGCGUAAAGCGUGCGCAGGCGGUUUUGCAAGACAGAUGUGAAAUCCCCGGGCUUAACCUGGGAACUGCAUUUGUGACUGCAAGGCUAGAGUGUGUCAGAGGGAGGUGGAAUUCCGCGUGUAGCAGUGAAAUGCGUAGAUAUGCGGAGGAACACCGAUGGCGAAGGCAAUCCCCUGGGCCUGUACUGACGCUCAUGCACGAAAGCGUGGGGAGCAAACAGG
rnacentral:rRNA from 1 species